rnacentral:pre_miRNA from 1 species
GUUGAGGAGAAUGUUGUCUGGCUCGACGACACCGGUCGAACUGUCGCUCAUUCCGGCCAUAAUAUUAUAUUAAUUAUGGGUUAAUGGAAUGAGAUUGAUGAUGAUUCGAUGGCGUCGGACCAGGCUUCAUUCCCCCCAAC